rnacentral:rRNA from 1 species
CGUCUAUAUACGUAUAGCAUAUCAAUAAGCGGAGGAAAAGAAACUAACUAGGAUUCCCUCAGUAACGGCGAGUGAAGCGGGAAGAGCUCAAAUUUGAAAUCUUCAAGGUUUUACCUUGACGAAUUGUAGUUUAAAGAAGUGUUUUCUGUUGGAGUUUUGGUAAAAGUUCUUUGGAAUAGGACAUCAUAGAGGGUGAGAAUCCCGUAUUUGACCAUUACUUCCAGCGUUGUGAUACACUUUCAAAGAGUCGGAUUGUUUGGGAAUGCAGUCCAAAAUGGGUGGUAAAUUUCAUCUAAAGCUAAAUACUGGCGAGAGACCGAUAGCGAACAAGUACCGUGAGGGAAAGAUGAAAGAACUUUGAAAAGAGAGUUAAACAGUACGUGACAUUGUCAAAAGGGAAGCGUUUGACACCAGUGUUGUUUUCUCGAAAAUCAAUUAAAAAUGGCAGGAUUUUGUGUUGUAUUGACUUUAUCAGCUUUCUGCACUUUUUUCUUGUCUUUUUUAAUGCACUUUUCGUUUAACAAGUCAACAUCAAUUUCUUUUGCUGUAAAAGGGUCAUUGGAAGGUGGCUUUCUUUUCGGAGAAAGUGUUUAUAGCCUUUGCCUCUGCAAUCGGAGAGAUUGAGGUCUGCAGCGUAGAUCCUUCGGGGUUAGAUGCAUUUGUGCUAAGUUAUAGCCUUUCAUAGACAACUUGUUGACUAUGAUCAGUCCAUGUAGCUUACUCGCUUAUGCUAUUUUACCUACGCUUAGGAUGUUGAUCUGUAGUGCGUGCGC